UGUAAGCGUAUACCAAAGUUGUUGCGGUUAAAAAGCUCGUAGUUGGAUCUCGGCAGGCAGGGGGUGGUUCGCUCUUAGCGCUACUGCCCCAUUUGCCUGUGUGAUUGGCGGAGGUUUCGGGGUGCUCUUCGUUGAGUGACCCGGGGCGCCGUCAGGUUUACUUUGAAAAAAUUAGAGUGCUCAAAGCAGGCUUUUCACGCUUGAAUAUUCGUGCAUGGAAUAAUGGAAUAGGAACUCGUUUCUAUUUUGUUGGUUUUCGGAAAUCGAGUUAAUGAUUAAUAGGGACAAUUGGGGGCAUUAGUAUUCAGACGACAGAGGUGAAAUUCUUGGACCGUCUGAAGACUAACUACUGCGAAAGCAUUUGCCAAGAGUGUUUUCAUUAA
rnacentral:rRNA from 1 species